UACGGAGGAUGCGAGCGUUAUCCGGAUUUACUGGGUGUAAAGGGAGCGUAGACGGCCAGACAAGUCAGAUGUGAAAACCCGGGGCCCAACCCCGGGAGUGCAUUUGAAACUGCCAUGCUGGAGUGCCGGAGAGGUAAGCGGAAUUCCUAGUGUAGCGGUGAAAUGCGUAGAUAUCGCGCAGAACUCCGAUUGCGAAGGCAGCGUACCGGCGCCAGACUGACGCUGAGGCACGAAAGCGUGGGGAUCGAACAGG
rnacentral:rRNA from 1 species